GGCAAGGUCCAUUCAAAAAUACACACUAAAAUGCUUGAUUUAAUAAUGUGAUUAAAUGAAAUUACAAUUCAAUUGUAUAUAGUUUUAAAACGUGGAAUAGUGAAAAAAGCUUUGUAGACCGAGAGGCUGAACAGGAUAAAAGUAAUGGAGUUAAACGUUCAUUUGAUGAUGAAUACAAUGAAGAUUUUGGUAGAGGGGUUGUAAAAAAGAAGAAAUUUGAUAGUAAGAAUCAUCACUCAAAAGAAAAUGGGUCCAAUGCCUUGCAAAUGUUACAUAAUCAAUUUAAU